rnacentral:rRNA from 1 species
UUUAAUUCCGAUUCAGGUAGUUAAAAAAAUUUAAACCUAUAUAAACUGGCGGCAUUUUAUCUUAUUAGAGGAAUAUGUUAACUAAUCGAAUUUACACGUUAAAUUUCACUUAAAAUUAAAUCUUAUAUACCUCCGUCUAAAGAACUAGAUAAAAAUCAUUUUUCAAAAUAAAUAUUUAUAACAAGUCAGGUAACGGUGUAGACAAUUUUUAAGAAAAUAAUGUAUUACUUUAAGAUUAACAUAACUUAAGGAUAAAAUAACAAAUUGUUUUAAUAAAAAGGAUUUAAAUGCAAUAAAAUAAUAAUAAUGUUUUAUGAAUAAGAAAAUAAAUGUGC